UCUGUGUUAUGUUUCCUGUUUUACUUUGAAAGUCCAUGUGUCAUGUAAAUGCGUCUGGUUGUGCUUCCUUUGUCUCGUUAGGCCUGAUUUGCCGCAGCUGUGUUUCCCUCCUGUUACUCAUUCCCUGAUUGUUCCCUCUAUGUAUUUAAGCCCUGUGUUUCAAUUUGUCAGUGUCACGAUCUACCCUUAUCUAGCUGUGUGUUCUGUCUGCGUAAGUGUAUUUUGUAUUCCUUGUUUUGUUACCCUUUUGAGUUCACGUUCCGCCUCCGAGUGUCUGCACAUUGGGUCCUCCUACUACCACUCCUGCCUGCACACAGCCUUCACAUAACACUUUGAAAGUCAGGGAGAGGAAGUGAAGGUAGGGAAAAGGAUUUAAUAGUUGAAGUUAAAGACUGAAGGAUGUUGCAGAGCUCAGGAAGGAGUUGAGACAGGUGCUUGGUGGUAUAGGAAAGAAUUACCAGAUGACUGGGAAAGUGUGGCUGAAAUUGUGAGGAAAAAACAGUAGACAGUGGAAACAGGAAAAAAAAACUUGACUAUGGAAUGAAGAAGUCCAGUAAAGUAUUUAAGAAAGAAGUAACAAAGAAAAAGUGAAAUAAGCAGAAAACUAAAGAAAGUAGACUGAAAUACUGUGAGGCUAUUGCACAGCAAAGUGUCACAAUCCGGCUGUGUGCAGGCAGGAAUUGGACCCAAACGCAAACUCACGGGAAACAGGACUAAACUCAAAUACAGCUUUAUUGCUGAAAGAAGGAAACGGCGAUACAAGUAAUACAAAAAUAAAAUGGGAGAUUCUAAAGGACCUGGCUCACGAGGAAACACACGGAGGGGCACACAGUCAUGAGGGAGGACGCGACACAGAACUGAGGAGACACUGUAGACACCCAGUGUCCUGCCAUUGGCCCAUCUCAACCUUGCCAUCACCAGCGUGAGACUGAUGUUCAAGAAGAGCCACCAUCCCAGAAACAAAGGCUUCCAAUACACAUAACUCCUGCUGUAAAACUACCUUUAUGAUUAAAGGCACUUAAAGACACCUUCAAAGAGAACCUGAAGACCUCAGUAACAACUGACAAUGAUGCUGAAACUUAAUGGUCCCAACUCCAAGAUUCCAAUAAUCCCGGGUUUUGGAAGGAAAGAGCACAGGAACACAGUUUGGUACAAAACACACUGGACGGAGAUGCAACCAGUAUCAGAAGCCAAGAGGAACAUACUGCUAGAGAACAAGCAGAACCCCUGCCCUAGUACACGUGAUGCUCUCCGAGCUGCUCAGAAUAAGACCCAGCAAACUGCCUUCCAGUGUGCCGAAGCCUACUGGCUGAACCUCCGAGGGAGGAUUCAGUCAACUGCAGACAAUGGAGCUACAGGCCACACAGCCAUCAAGACCACACUGCUGAAGUCCAAGAUAGGAGGUGUCAUCACUGACAAGACCAAACAGUUUGAACACUGGUGGAACACUAGCUAGAGGUGCAUGCUACCCAGAAUGUGGUGACUGAUGUCACCCUGAGUCUCUCAGUUAUGGAGGAGCUAGACAACCUGCCUCCUACCGAAGAGCUCAGCAAAGCCAUCGACACCCAACCCUUAACGCUGUAUAAUCAUGUCAUGAGUUAAAUGGAAGUUUAUUAAAAUAUACUAUUUUCCAUGUUUACAGUAAAGUUGAAACAUCAGAUGUAAAUUCCAGCAUGUGAUGGCUCGAGGUAGCCAAUAGGCAGAUGUUAGUGUUUUCUUUUUAAGAUAGUUUGUGCAGGUGUAACUGAAGUUAUGUAGAA